UACGGAGGGUGCAAGCGUUGCUCGGAAUUAUUGGGCGUAAAGGGUAGGUAGGUGGUCUCGUUUGUCUGGGGUGAAAGCCUUGGGCUUAACUCAAGAAGUGCCCCGGAAACGGCGAGACUAGAGUGCUGGAGAGGGUCGUGGAAUUCCCGGUGUAGCGGUGAAAUGCGUAGAGAUCGGGAGGAACACCAGAGGCGAAGGCGGCGACCUGGACAGUGACUGACACUCAACUACGAAAGCGUGGGGAGCAAACAGG
rnacentral:rRNA from 1 species